rnacentral:sRNA from 1 species
GAUGUCUUGGAGCAUGGAGGGGAGUUUCACUUUUUCCAGAAGCAAAUGUUUUUCCUCUUGGCUCUGCUCUCGGCUACCUUCGCGCCCAUCUACGUGGGCAUCGUCUUCCUGGGCUUCACCCCUGACCACCGCUGCCGGAGCCCCGGAGUGGCCGAGCUGAGUCUGCGCUGCGGCUGGAGUCCUGCAGAGGAACUGAACUACACGGUGCCGGGCCCAGGACCUGCGGGCGAAGCCUCCCCAAGACAGUGUAGGCGCUACGAGGUGGACUGGAACCAGAGCACCUUCGACUGCGUGGACCCCCUGGCCAGCCUGGACACCAACAGGAGCCGCCUGCCACAGGGCCCCUGCCGGGACGGCUGGGUGUACGAGACGCCUGGCUCGUCCAUCGUCACCGAGAUGCCCACACACACCUGAAAGCCCGUGGAACUCAACUGAACUGUGCCUGACUGUGUGAUAGGAUGUGCUUUUCUCUCGAUACCUAUUUUUUCUCUUUAAUUUCCUCAAAGUGUUCAUAUAAAAUCAUUUGGAGCUGGAGAUCAUGCUAUGGCACUAUUAUUUUGUUAAAAACUACAGAUGACAUCAAAAGCUAUUCGUGAAGCCUGAUUCCAGUAAAUAUAAUAGAAAAAAA